GGCCUGUUUUCUGCUUCCGGAAGUUCUCAGUGGAGAGUUCCGCUAUAAACUGCGCGAGCGUCGCUGUGAUCUGCUGUAAAUCUCAAUCGUGGUCAAAAAGAUCCCCUCUGAGGCCAAAACAUAUAAUGGUGUAAGGAUCCACUCACCGGCUCAAGAAAGAUAGUCCAGCUCCUGGUUGAAGCUCCUUCUGCUUGAAGUAAACUAAUCCCAAGAAAUGGAUCGCCGUCGCAAACUGUCUGGAUCCGGUGAUGACAGCGAUGCUUUAGAUAAGAGUAUUGGUCUUCCUCCUUACUUUAACUGUGCUGGGAGUAAACCAGAGGAGAUACUACAGCGGAAACUUCAAACUGUUGAUUCUUUCAAGAGAACCAUUGAGGAACUAAAGUCAGAAUAUAAGAGAAAUCUCCCCACACUCACUGAUCAAAUGAAGAAACUGGAGGACAUCUCUGAUGUGAUUGAAUUGUGCACAAGAACGCUACAGUGGUCAGUUUGGCUGGAUCAUCAGUUGGAGCAGUGGGUCUGGCUUUAUCUCCAGUCACAUUAUGAGCUUCUUUGUGUGUUACUGCUGUUGCAGCUGUUGCUUUAGUAGCUGGAGGAGUAACACGUGCAGCAUCAAACAUCAUUAACAUACUCAAGCAAAGAAAACUACGUCCGACUGUUGUGAAGAUCAUCAGUGAUUUCCUGGAGACAAUCAAACCAAUGACUGAGCAUCUGAGUAUAAUUUCUAACAUCACUGCAGAUAUUCAACAGAACAAUGAGAUUUUAAGUAAGCUGGAGUUUCAGACACCAGUAAGAGGUUUUAAUGAUGUAUUAAAUACUGCAAAAGCAGCUGAUGUGGCUCUAGUUGGAAAAUAUUGUGCAGAGGCUGCCAAAGACAUCUGUGUGUAUGAGAAGGCUGUCAGAGCUGUACGUGAUCCUGCAAAGGCUGCCAGAGCCACUGGUGUACUCUCAUCUCUGUUUCUUGCUCUUGAUGUUGUUUCUAAUGUUCAAAAUUCAAUCGCUGAAAUGAAUCAACCAGCAAACGCGAGAAAACCAGGAAAAAUCAUAUCACGAACUCGGAAGUUUAUUCAUUACACGAGACAAACAGCUUCUCAUUUUCAGAAGACUCUAGAUAAAAUUAAAUAUGUCAUAAACACUAUUAACUAAAUGUUGCAAAACAGCACAGAGAUCAACAAUCACACAGUUAUUAAAAAAAGAAAGGAAAAAUGACAACAUGGCUUUUUUAUAUACUAUAUAUAUAUAUAUAUAUAUAUAUAUAUAUAUAAAUUUUUUUAGUAGUCUUGAUCUGCUGUUUCUAAUUUGGUUUUCCAUGUAAUGUGGAAUUUUGAGUGAAAAAAAAAGUUAACCAAAAAAUAAAUAAAUAAAAUAAAAAACAAGAAACUAUAAAUGUUCAAAUAAAUAUAAUGUAUAAAUAUUGUACAUACUGUCACCAAUGAAGCAGUAUAACAUGCCAUUCUUGUUCUUCUUCAUCUUCUUCUUGUUUAUUAGUCAGUUUGGGAGAGAAUUGAGAAAUAAAAUACAGUUAUUAAAAUAAUAUUUUAAAAUAUAUUAAAAUAGAAAGCAUUUAUUUUAAGCAGUAAAACUCAAUAUCUAUGUUUGCAUCAAUAAAUGAAGGCUUGGUGAGCAGAAGAGAUUUCUUUAAGAAUCAUUUAAACAAUUUUGCUGUCCAAAUACUUUUGACUGCUAAUGUAAAUAUGAAAAAUAAAUAUGAACUGUUUCCGUUCGAUAUACAUUGACUCCUGAAACACAUUAUCUGACUGAUAUUACUGAUUGAUUCUUCAUUUGACAUAUUCUUAAAGGUAUUAUUUUGAAGUAUUAUUUGCUGCCAAUUGAUUUGUGUAUCCAUUUUCUGUUUAGAUGUGUUUGUGAUUAUUUUAUGAUGUAUUAUUUAGAGAAAUGUAUUUGUUAAAAUUGAGAUGCUGAUUGUUUUUGUGCCAAAUAAAUGUACAGUGAGCUAAACAUCUGUGGGAGAAAAAUAAACACAUUAAUAAUGGA